UACAGAGGGGGCGAGCGUUGUUCGGAAUUACUGGGCGUAAAGGGCGCCUAGGCGGCCUUCUAAGUCGAACGUGAAAUCCCCGGGCUCAACCCGGGAACUGCGUCCGAUACUGGGAGGCUUGAAUCCGGGAGAGGGAUGUGGAAUUCCAGGUGUAGCGGUGAAAUGCGUAGAUAUCUGGAGGAACACCGAUGGCGAAGGCAAUCCCCUGGGCCUGCACUGACGCUCAUGCACGAAAGCGUGGGGAGCAAACAGG
rnacentral:rRNA from 1 species